CACGUAGGGCGCAAGCGUUGUCCGGAAUUAUUGGGCGUAAAGAGCUCGUAGGCGGUCUGUUGCGUCCGCUGUGAAAACUCGGGGCUUAACCCCGAGCCUGCAGUGGAUACGGGCAGACUAGAGGUAGGUAGGGGAGAAUGGAAUUCCCGGUGUAGCGGUGAAAUGCGUAGAUAUCGUAAGGAAGACCAGUGGCGAAGGCGGGUCUCUGGACAGUUCCUGACGCUGAAGCACGAAGGCCAGGGGAGCAAACGGG
rnacentral:rRNA from 1 species